rnacentral:lncRNA from 1 species
GCAAAAAGCUGUCUUUUCUUUGCCCAGCACAGUGCUCCACUCCUUUUUGAGUGUGACGUCUUGCUCUGCCGACGACCGCAGUACCCACUGCUACCUGGUGCUCAGGUCCACUAGUGUCACUCCUUUAUGACACAUGCCUGGCCUCUGAGGGCAUCUCAGUUCAGGACCCUUCUUGAAGCCGUCCAUAAGGUCACAGCCGCUGCACUCAAGCUCUCCACAAAAACAGAAGCCUCCCGACCCUAGGGGACCAGGACGCAGAACCAGCGUGCAUCAGAUUCUUCACAGCCUGCUGACUGAUUUCCUUUGUCUCACCCUGAUUUAGUUUAUUCCUGGAGUUCUGCAUUAACACCCUGCUCCCAGUUCAUCCAGCAUCUUCACAGCAGAGGUCACGGCAGGAAAGAGGCCUGAGAGCCCUUCAGCUGGAACUAACCCACAGGAAGCCUCAGCGUUCCACGAAGGAAAGAAACUGCCCUGCUCGGGCCCAGGACUGAGCGAGACUGGCCGGCGGAGGGCGCCCCGGCUCCUUUCCAUCAGCUGCCGCGUGGACAAGAGGAGGAAACAGUGGCUCACACGUGGCUGUGUGUGACAAUAAGAGAGAGUCACCUCAAAGCCCCGGGCAGAGGUGCUCCCCAGCAGGCAUAGAGGGACCUGUUUUGCAGUCCUUUGCAUCUACCUGCCUGCCAGAGCCACUAAGAUCUGGAAAAUGGGCAAUGUUCAGGUAAAAGCUCAACUUUUCUUGGUAUUAAACAUGUACUUUCAUAGGACGUACACAC